rnacentral:ribozyme from 1 species
UGCUUUGAUUUCAUAUUUUAUUUUUUGAUUUUCUCACGUGUAGAUGUUUUCGCUCCCAGAGGUUGUGGCUUAUGCUUCAAAUAUGGAAGGGAGUGAACUUCCGAUUUCAAAAAAAAGAAAGAAA